GAUGAGAACGUAGCGAAAUGCGAUACUUGGUGUGAAUUGCAGAAUCCCGUGAACCAUCGAGUCUUUGAACGCAAGUUGCGCCCGAAGCCAUUAGGCCGAGGGCACGCCUGCCUGGGCGUCACACGUCGUUGCCCCCCCAUCUACUCCUUCGGGAUUGCGGGGGGCGGAUGAUGGCCUCCCGUGCGCCACGCCGCGCGGUUGGCAUAAAUGCCAAGUCCUCGGCGACGCACGCCACGACAAUCGGUGGUUGCGAAACCUCGGUUGCCCGUCGUGUGCGGUCGUCGCGCAUCGAGGGCUCGAAAAAAUUGCCGGGUUCCGGCUCGGCUUUCAACGCGACCCCAGGUCAGGCGGGGUUACCCGCUGAAUUUAAGCAUAUCAAUAAGCGGAGGA
rnacentral:misc_RNA from 1 species